rnacentral:rRNA from 1 species
CGAGUCAGUGGCGGGUGGCGAGCAUAAGCCGUGUGGCGUAUGCGUAGCGAAAGCGAGUCUUAAAAGGCGUUUGUAGUCGCUUGUCCUGGACCCGAAGCGGGAUGAUCUAGCCCUGGGCAGGUUGAAGCGCGGGUAAGACCGCGUGGAGGACCGAACCCACCUGGGUUGAAAACCGGGGGGAUGACCUGGGGCUAGGGGUGAAAGGCCAAUCAAAUUCCGUGAUAGCUGGUUCUCUCCGAAAUGCAUUUAGGUGCAGCGUCGGUCGAUUGCGUCGCGGGGGUAGAGCUACCGGAUGCUUGCGGGCCCUUGUUGGGUACCAACAGCAGCCGAACUCCGAAUACCGUUGACGUGUAUUCCGGCAGUGAGUCGGCGGGGGAUAAGCUCCGUCGUCGAGAGGGAGACAGCCCAGACCGUCGUCUAAGGUCCCGAAGCGUGUGCUAAGUGGGAAAGGAUGUGGAGUCGCAUAGACAGCCAGGAGGUUGGCUCAGAAGCAGCCAUCCUUGAAAGAGUGCGUAACAGCUCACUGGUCUAGUGGUUCCGCGCCGACAAUGUAGCGGGGCUCAAGCACACCACCGAAGACGCGGCAGCAAUCUUCAUGGUUGCUGGGUAGGAGAGCGUCCUGCGAGGGGCGAAGCGGCGGUGGAAACCGGCCGUGGACUUCGUGGGAGUGAGAAUGCAGACAUGAGUAGCGAGAGACGGGUGAGGAUCCCGUCCGCUGGAUGACCAAGGGUUCCGGGGCCACGUUCGUCGUCCCCGGGUGAGUCGGGUCCUAAGGCGAGGCCGACAGGCGUAGUCGAAUGGAUGAACGGGUGGAUAUUCCCGUACCGACCAUGGACCGGCAAAACCGAGACGGUGAGUACUAACCUCCGCCUCGUGGUGGUUCCUUCCUUCGGGUUGGUGUCGCCGCGUGGCGUUGGGACCGUAGCCGCAGUAGGUCAGCGCAGGGGUGACACGGAAUGGGAGCCGGCCGCGGAGGUGGUUUUCCGUGGUCAAGCACGCAGCCAGUCAUGUAGGCAAAUCCGCAUGGCGCGCAUGGCGAGGUGUGAUGAUGGGAGCCUUUUGGGCUCGAUAUCCGGUUGUCCAGGCCGUCGAGAAAAGCCUCGGCGUGAGGGCCAUGGCCGCCCGUACCCCAAACCGACACUGGUGGUCAGGUAGAGAAUACCAAGGCGAUCGAGCGAAUCCUGGUCAAGGAACUCGGCAAAUCACUCCCGUGCCUUCGGUAUAAGGGAGACCCGCUGGGGUGAACCGGCUAGCCCGGGGAGCUUUGGUGGGUGGCACAGACCAGGGGGUAGCGACUGUUUACCAAAAACACAGGUGCAUGCGAAGGCGAAAGCCGCUGUAUAUGCACUGACGCCUGCCCGGUGCCGGAAGGUUAAGAGGAUCCGUCAAUCCCUUCGGGGACGAAGCGGUGAAUUCAAGCCCCGGUAAACGGCGGUGGUAACUAUAACCAUCCUAAGGUAGCGAAAUUCCUUGUCGGGUAAGUUCCGACCUGCACGAAUGGCGUAACGACUUCCCCACUGUCUCGACCAGGAGCUCGGCGAAAUUGCAGUACGAGUAAAGAUGCUCGUUAAGCGCAGAAGGACGAAAAGACCCCGGGACCUUUACUAUACCUUGGUAUUGGCGUUAGGCGCGGAUUGUGUAGCAUAGGCGGGAGGCUUCGAAGCGGGUGCGCCAGCAUUCGUGGAGCCGCAAGGUGAAAUACCGCUCUGUUCUCGUUUGACGUCUAACCUCGACAAGUCAUCCUUGUCAGGGACAGUGCCUGGCGGGUAGUUCAACUGGGGCGGUUGCCUCCCAAAGAGUAACGGAGGCGCUCAAAGGUCCGCUCAGCCCGGUUGGCAAUCGGGUGUCGAGUGUAAUCGCACAAGCGGGCUUGACUGCGAGGACGACGGUCCGAGCAGGGACGAAAGUCGGAGAUAGUGAUCCGGUGCCGGCGCACGGGCGCGGCAUCGCUCAACGGAUAAAAGGUACCCCGGGGAUAACAGGCUGAUCAUUCCCAAGAGUCCAUAUCGACGGGAUGGUUUGGCACCUCGAUGUCGGCUCGUCGCAUCCUGGGGCUGGAGCAGGUCCCAAGGGUUCGGCUGUUCGCCGAUUAAA